AUUGAACGUUGGCGGCGUGGAUUAGGCAUGCAAGUCGUACGGGUCGGUGUAGCAAUACAACGGCAAGUGGCGAAAGGGAGAGUAACACGUAGAUACCUACCCUCUGGUCGGGGAUACCGCGGCAUAACCGCAAGUAAUACCCGAUAAAAUCUCCGGAUCAAAGGUGUGAUUCCGCCGGAGGAGGGGUCUGCGUUCUAUCAGCUUGUUGGUGAGGUAAUGGCUCACCAAGGCUAAGACGGAUACGGGGUGUGAGAGCAUGCCCCCGCUCACUGGGACUGAGACACUGCCCAGACACCUACGGGUGGCUGCAGUCGAGAAUCUUCGGCAAUGGGCGCAAGCCUGACCGAGCGACGCCGCGUGCGGGAUGAAGGCCUUCGGGUUGUAAACCGCUGUCGAGGGGAAUGAAGUGUAGGUGGGUACUCCCAUCUAUUUGACAGAUCCCUGGAGGAAGCAUGGGCUAAGUUCGUGCCAGCAGCCGCCGCCGUAA
rnacentral:rRNA from 1 species